AUGAUAUCAAACAGAACUCCAUUAAAUGCAAAAACACUCAUUAAAUGCAUUAAAACAUUUUUGUAUCACCACCAGUUUGGAGGAAAACAGUGUUCUCCAUUCCUAUAUCCGGCCUUUUCCCCGAGUGGCAAUGCUCUUGAUUGGAUAAGCUUCGAUUGAUUUGCUUUAAUUGUGUAUGGCACCUUCGCAAAAUCAUUAUCAACGUUAGCAUUGUGAUGUGUUAGAAGAUGAGCCCCCAACAAUAAUCCUACUGCAUAAUGUGUUGUCUAAAUUAGGUAUGAGUGUUUUAUUGAUUGAUCUACAGUCGAAUUUUCUAUUUGCGAUAUCGGUAUUUUCUUCUUUUUUUUUUGCGUUACUGGUAUUUACGUUUUCCCACCACGUACGCCAUUUUUUCCCCCCAGUUCCAAACAAAACAUUGCCUCCUCAGGUGUCCGCCGUCCUCCAUUACUGUUUCAUUGUGCUGUACACGGCUGUUUUUGUGUGCGUUGUGUCUGUGUUUUUAAUCGAAUAUUUUUUAAAAGCCUAACAUGGAGAGGAAGAAAGAAAGGAAGACCAUUUCCCUCGAGGAAAAAGUAUCCGUAUUUUGUGAGGUGGAUCCUCACGUGGGAACGAGGGUUGAAUUAGCGAAUGGGCUGAAUAUCGCGAUUUCUACAUUAAACACUAUUGUGAAGAAUCGGGCGAGUAUAAUGAAUAACGUGGCGAAGUGUGGACCGAUGGCUAAGAAGAGAGAGUAUGUGAAGUCAGCGAAGAGAAGCAAAAGUUGGAACCUACAUUUUUUCAGACAUUAAGUGCUGUGGAAACGCCCAAAGCUGGUAUUUCCGCUGCGCUGAGAGAAGAGAGCUUUGGGACUGGUGUGCAACGUUGCAGAGCCGAAGGCCUCCAUGAUACAUCACUGAGAGAAAGAGAGACGUGCACGAGGGACUGAGGUGCUAACACUGGAAGAGAAGAGCCGGGAGAGCAAAUCCCAUGAGGAAUGACUGGCAAGGCCGUGAACUGAUUGAAUCAGUACGGCUAGGCUUCGUAGGGCUCAUUUUCUAUGCAGACAGUCGAACCCUCUAUCCAGCCAUCCAUUUUCUAACCACUUCUUCCAAUUCAGGAUGGCAGGGGAGCCAUAGUCUACCUUGACAAGCAACAGGUACAAUGUCGGAUGCACCCUGGAUGGGGGACACACGUCCAGAAUUGAACCCAGGGCUCCAGCUCUGCGAGGCAGCAAUGCUAACCAGUGUGCGACCGUGCUGUCCCAGGCACGCCCUGUACAAGUCUAAAUAGGAUGUACUAUGAUUUUUAUCUCUAAAACAUUGCAUGUAUCUAAUCCAAAAGAUAAAUCAAGUAUAAAUGAUCUAUAAUUUGAUUAUAAAUUAAGCUAUGCUGUGGAAAUUGUCUCCCAAGUUAAUAUGCCAGGAACACUGUGCAAGUUUCCUUUUGGUGCUCUAACCAGAGUGAGUGC